UAUCAAGUUGGUGCAAAAGUAAUUGCGGUUUUUGUCAUUACUUUUAAUGGCAAAACCGCAAUUACUUUUGCACCAACCUGAUA
rnacentral:pre_miRNA from 1 species